UUCUGUACCUGUCAAUGGAAAAUUGUAUUUAGUAGUCAGUAUAAUCUUUUAAUGAUAUAAGUUUCCAUAUAUGCUUAGAGGUGUAUAAUUGAUUGUGUAGUGAUAGGAUGUGUGAUCUGUAGAAGGCUGCAAGGACUUUUAUGUGCAUUCCAGAGUGUUCUGCCAUUCACCCCCCCCACAUCCUAGGAGCAUGGGAAAGGUUGUACCUUCUUUUAUUGUUUUACAGUAGGAUAAACGUAGCUAUGUCAGUUUUAGUCUAAGUGCCUUUUUUACAUAUAGAUGAACUGUUGGAUUUUCCAGACCAGCAGGUUUAGGGAAGUCGUUUAUGGGGUCACACACACACACACAGACACCUAAACAUCCACAUUCCAAUGUAAGGAACAAACACCCACUGAUGUAUAAAUAAAGACCAGGGCAGUCUCAGAGCGCGUGUCAGAGAGCCCUCACUCUCACUGCGGGUGCUCUGUGCUGCCCUUGUAUACAAGUAAAA